GGCGACGCCUCCAAACAGCAGAUUCCAGGCGGCAAUGACGUCACCUUUCCCUUUCCUGCCGCCCAGGCCUCUAGGCGCUGCUGCUUGGGGCCCAGGGGCUGCAAGGCUUCCCUGGGCCCCGUUCUGUGCCCCCACAGAGCAGCCCCAAGCCAAGACUCCAAGGAAGAGAAAGAACAUCAUGUCUUACUAUGGCUCAGACAUUUACUGAAGGAACUGAGACAGCUUUCCUGUGCCUGGGGGCUGUGGAUGUGUAGGCGGCUAUGCUAAAUUUAACAUGACCUAUCUGUGCUUUCCAUUUUACUGUGAGGGUGUCUUCGGAGCACUUUUGACUGCCAAAUGUCCGAGCAAGAAGAAGCUGGAUUCAGAUGUUGGAACUCAAGGAAAUUAGUGCUGCUAGGUCUUACAGUAUGAUGAACUGCCCCGGCAGGUGAUCUGAGGUCUGCAGGGAUCUACCCAGAAGACAGGAGCGGGGCGUGGCCGGCCGGGAGAUGGAGCUGUUGAGGAAGAGCGGAGCAUGGGAGAGGCAGAGCAUAGGAGGCUCUGGAAAAGAGAGAGGUUCCAGAGGCUCUGGCAGGGCAGCAGAUGGGCAAAGGCAGGCAUUGAGUGCAGGACGCAGGAGAGGUUGACUGAACUGCAAAACCUGGCCAGCCAACAGAAGGCAGCACCAGCAGGUGACUAGCAGAUAGAGGCUGGCCAAGGCUACCCGGCUCAGUGCCUCUUUCCGGUGGUGCACACCCUGCAGGGUGUCCCAGGCCAUUUUAGUUGCUGAUCCAAAAAAGGCUGGGCAAUGGAAACAAGGCAGCAGAUACAUCUUUCACACCUGCUGAACACUCACCAACUCGUCAACACUGGGCAGUGGGCAGAUUCCUAA
rnacentral:lncRNA from 1 species